AACGAACGCUGGCGGCGCGCCUAAUACAUGCAAGUCGAGCGAGAAGACGUAGCAAUACGUUUGUAAAGCGGCGAACGGGUGAGGAAUACAUGGGUAACCUACCCUAGAGUGGGGAAUAACUAGCCGAAAGGUUAGCUAAUACCGCGUACGCUCCUUGGACUUCGGUUCAGGGAGGAAAGCGAUACCGUGGGUAUCGCGCUCUUGGAUGGGCUCAUGUCCUAUCAGCUUGNGGUGAGGUAACGGCUCACCAAGGCUUCGACGGGUAGCUGGUCUGAGAGGACGAUCAGCCACACUGGCACUGCGACACGGGCCAGACUCCUACGGGAGGCAGCAGUAAGGAAUAUUGCGCAAUGGGCGAAAGCCUGACGCAGCGACGCCGC
rnacentral:rRNA from 1 species